UUUCUGGUGGUCCAGUGAUUAAGACUCUGCACUUCCGCUGCAGAGAGCCCAGGUUCCAUCCCUGGAUGGGUAA
rnacentral:tRNA from 1 species